GCCGCCCUCGUCCUCCAGGCGGGCGUCUGAGAGCCGGAUCCGCACGCGGCGAGGGGAGAACUCCUCCAGCUGGAAGCGCUCGUCCUUCAGGGCUAGAGAGAGUGGCCGGGACACGGGAGUCCAGGCCGCGGCCCUCUCCUCCUUGCAGACUCGGGAUUCCCGUCCCCAGCACUCACCCCGGGUGCCGUUGAAGAAGAGGGUCUGCCGGGCUGGGUUCUGGAUGACAACUAUGGACCCAUCAUACUGGUGCAGACGGCAGGUGAUCUCAGCCACCCCACCCUCAGCCACUGUCACGUUCUCUGUCUGUACUUCCUGUCCCGCCCCUGGACCAUUAGACAGAGACAGGAGACUUAUUGAGGGCUGCAAUUAAAUCAUUUCUUUCUCCCUCUGUGCCUCUCCCAUCCAAACCCUCAAUCUCUCUCCUUCCCCUCUCAUUCAGUUCAUUGCACCCAACAUUUGCUGGGGGUUAGAGCACAAAAUCUGCUCCCCAUAGAGGAGCUGCAGUCAAGAUUCAGUGGUACGUGCUCCAAUGGGGGGUAGAAGAGGGCAUACAAGGAACCCAGAGAAAGCGGAGAGUAGAGCUACCUAGAGAGGUGGGUGGUCAGAGAGAGACCUGGAAGAAUGAGCCACUGGAUCUGGAUCUCAAAGAGUAAGCAGCAAUUCAGCAGGUGUGGGAUAUUGCUGCGUGUUCACUCAACUUUCUCUUUCACGCCUGGGCACAUACUGUAGCUUGUCUGCAAAGAUGGCCAUAAUAUUCUUCCCCUUCCUGGACAUGCCCUUUGCAAGUUGAUUUUGCCUCUCUCUAGUCUGGGUGCGCAUUGCGACUUGCUUUGAUCAAUAGAAUUUGCUAGAAGUGAUAUCGUAUGUGUUCUGGAGCUCAGGCCUGGAGAGGCCUAGCAGCUUCUGCUCUUGCCCUCUACUGCCCCAAUGGUGUUGCAUGAAGAUGCCCAGACUGGCCCCUUUGUGGAUGAGAGACCCCAGGGAGAGAGCAGCUCCGCCAGCACCAACUGCCAGGCCUGUGAGCGAAGCCAUUCCCAGUCGCACCACCAGAUGACUGCAGCCCCACAGGUGACCCCAGAUGAAACCAAGAGACGAUCUGCCCACCUGCUCCAGCCCAAAUUGCUGACCCCCAGAAUUGGGAACCAAUAAAGUGGUGGUUGUUUUAAGCCACUAAGUUUUGGGUGGUCUGUUCCGCUGCUAAAGUUAACUGACACGAUAGGAAACUAGGCUACAUCCCAGCAUCCUUUGUAGUUUAGGUGGAGCCACGUGGCUGAUUUCUGGCCAAUGGGAUGUAGGUGGAAGAGAUUAAACACCCCUUCCAGCCCUCACAGGGAGCCUACAGGAGGGCAGGAUCACAAGCUGGAGGGAGCCAGUGUCUCUGACUGUUCCCCAUGACCUGCCUACAUAGGACUGUGAGCGAGAAAUAUACUUUUUUUUGUGAAGCCACUGACAUGUCAGGGCUGUUUGUUACAGCAGUUAACCUACCCUGAUUGAUUAAUCCACUGGAGGAAAAAGGUGGGGGGUUAGAAAGGUGCAGCAGCAGAGGCAACAGACUAAAAAGCUGAAUGCCGAAACUAAUCAUCGUCGGUGUUACCAUCAUUGUCAUCUUCAAAAUAACAAUAACCGCUAUAGCUGCCAUAUAUUGGGCACUUGCUGUGGUGGCCGUGUGCUAAGAGCAUUACCUAUAUAAUUUCCAUUUAAUCUUCACAAUACCUGUAUAAGUAUUGAGCAAGUAUUGUGCAACUUGCAACUGUGCAAGUUGAUUUUGCCUCCCUCUAGUCUGGGUACGCAUUGCAACUUGCUUUUAUCAAUAGAAUUUGCUAGAAGUGAUAUUGUAUGUGUUCUGGAGCUCAGGCCUGGAGAGGCCUAGCAGCUUCUGCUCUUGCCCUCUACUGUCCCAACAGUGAGUGUUGCAUGAAGAUGCCCAGACUGGCCCCUUUGUGGAUGAGAGACCUCAGGGAGAGAGGAGUAGGCACUAUUAUUAAUCUCCAUUUUUUCCCAAUCCCCAUUUUUUUUUUUUUUUUUUUUUUU